rnacentral:rRNA from 1 species
CCUUAGAGUUUGAUCCUGGCUCAGGAUGAACGCUAGCUACAGGCUUAACACAUGCAAGUCGAGGGGAAACGACAUCGAAAGCUUGCUUUUGAUGGGCGUCGACCGGCGCACGGGUGAGUAACGCGUAUCCAACCUGCCCAUCACUUGGGAAUAACCUUGCGAAAGUAAGACUAAUACCCAAUGAUAUCUCUAGAAGACAUCUGAAGGAGAUUAAAGAUUUAUCGGUGAUGGAUGGGGAUGCGUCUGAUUAGCUUGUUGGCGGGGUAACGGCCCACCAAGGCGACGAUCAGUAGGGGUUCUGAGAGGAAGGUCCCCCACAUUGGAACUGAGACACGGUCCAAACUCCUACGGGAGGCAGCAGUGAGGAAUAUUGGUCAAUGGGCGAGAGCCUGAACCAGCCAAGUAGCGUGAAGGAUGACUGCCCUAUGGGUUGUAAACUUCUUUUAUACGGGAAUAAAGUGAGGCACGUGUGCCUUUUUGUAUGUACCGUAUGAAUAAGGAUCGGCUAACUCCGUGCCAGCAGCCGCGGUAAUACGGAGGAUCCGAGCGUUAUCCGGAUUUAUUGGGUUUAAAGGGAGCGUAGGCGGACGCUUAAGUCAGUUGUGAAAGUUUGCGGCUCAACCGUAAAAUUGCAGUUGAUACUGGGUGUCUUGAGUACAGUAGAGGCAGGCGGAAUUCGUGGUGUAGCGGUGAAAUGCUUAGAUAUCACGAAGAACUCCGAUUGCGAAGGCAGCUUGCUGGACUGUAACUGACGCUGAUGCUCGAAAGUGUGGGUAUCAAACAGGAUUAGAUACCCUGGUAGUCCACACAGUAAACGAUGAAUACUCGCUGUUUGCGAUAUACAGUAAGCGGCCAAGCGAAAGCGUUAAGUAUUCCACCUGGGGAGUACGCCGGCAACGGUGAAACUCAAAGGAAUUGACGGGGGCCCGCACAAGCGGAGGAACAUGUGGUUUAAUUCGAUGAUACGCGAGGAACCUUACCCGGGCUUGAAUUGCAACUGAAUGAUGUGGAGACAUGUCAGCCGCAAGGCAGUUGUGAAGGUGCUGCAUGGUUGUCGUCAGCUCGUGCCGUGAGGUGUCGGCUUAAGUGCCAUAACGAGCGCAACCCUUAUCGAUAGUUACCAUCAGGUUAUGCUGGGGACUCUGUCGAGACUGCCGUCGUAAGAUGUGAGGAAGGUGGGGAUGACGCCAAAUCAGCACGGCCCUUACGUCCGGGGCUACACACGUGUUACAAUGGGGGGUACAGAAGGCAGCUACACGGCGACGUGAUGCUAAUCCCGAAAGCCUCUCUCAGUUCGGAUUGGAGUCUGCAACCCGACUCCAUGAAGCUGGAUUCGCUAGUAAUCGCGCAUCAGCCACGGCGCGGUGAAUACGUUCCCGGGCCUUGUACACACCGCCCGUCAAG